UACGAAGGGGGCUAGCGUUGUUCGGAAUUACUGGGCGUAAAGCGCACGUAGGCGGAUACUUAAGUCAGGGGUGAAAUCCCGGGGCUCAACCCCGGAACUGCCUUUGAUACUGGGUAUCUCGAGUCCGGAAGAGGUGAGUGGAAUUCCGAGUGUAGAGGUGAAAUGCGCAGAUAUCGGGAAGAACACCCGUGGCGAAGGCGGCUCUCUGGAACGCAACUGACGCUGAGACGCGAAAGCGUGGGGAGCAAACAGGG
rnacentral:rRNA from 1 species